ACAAGAUACAUUCUCAACAUUAACUUCAUAAAACCAGAGACCAUUAUGGCUACAUUGUUGAAAUGAAAGAAACACACUCAGUGCAAACAUAGCCACAAUCUGGAAAUAUAAAAUGAGGUGGCCCCGUGACCCUGCCGACACCGAGGCUCAUUUCAUCACCGUGGACAGCGCUAUGAAAUCACGGCACACAUUGACAAAUGAACUCAUGUGCAUGCUCAAGCUACAAUACAAUUUCAAAUGCAUUCUUUUCUUUUUUUCUUUAGAUACAAGGAAGUGCGGUGCGCCCGGCCCCGCCAGGAUCCCACCUCAGCCCGGCGCGUGUCGGUCUUCACUUAAGCCGCGCGGCGUGGCGCGGCACACAGGCGCACACUCCAUAUCCACACUCCGGCUCAACGCGCACCGCAGCCACUGAACCACCAGGCUCCUCAGUCACAGCGCACAUGUUUUCAAUAAUAAGCCCCGCCCCAAACAUUUCAAGCUUUCACACCUGAUUGGCUGACCAUUGUGCCAAUAUUUAAACUCCUGUGUUGACAGCCGCACCAGAGGGACAGAUCACAGAUCAUCAACGCAAACCUGCUACAAAACCCCGGACUGGUAUUCAUGGACGGACUGAACUGGAUUUGGUUUGCUGGUGAUGAGUUGGAAGCAAGCCAAGAGGGGCAGUGGCCCUGGUGGCAGUAGUGAAUG